rnacentral:rRNA from 1 species
AGCAGCCGCGGUAAUUCCAGCUCCAAUAGCGUAUAUUAAAGUUGUUGCAGUUAAAAGCUCGUAGUUGAAUUUCGGGGUUCUACCGUCGGUCGGGCUACCAAGUCUGUACUGGUGUGUAGAAUUUCUACCUUCUGGGGAACCAUCAUGUUAUUAAUUUAGCGUGGUGGGAAACCAGGACCUUUACCUUGAAAAAAUUAGAGUGUUCAAAGCAGGCUUAUGUCUGAAUACAUUAGCAUGGAAUAAUAGAAUAGGACGGUGGUCCUGUUUUGUUGGUUUCUGAAUCACCGUAAUGAUUAAUAGGGAUAGUUGGGGGCAUUAGUAUUCAAUUGUCAGAGGUGAAAUUCUUGGAUUUAUUGAAGACUAACUUCUGCGAAAGCAUUUGCCAAGGAUGUUUUCAUUAAUCAAGAACGAAAGUUAGGGAUCGAAGACGAUCAGAUACCGUCGUAGUCU